CUUUCCCUCAGCUUCACCAUGGAGACAGCCAACGGGAAAGAAGUUCCUGAGUGGGAGGCAGUACAGCAGGGAGAGGUGAGAAUGCGCCUCCAGGAACCAGGACUGGAAAUUCCCACUCUGCUGAGGAAUGCAGAGGCAUUCCUGGAGCUGCACAGAAGUACAUUGUCGAAGCCGGGAUGUCCCUGGGGAAACAUAGGCCACUUCCAGCAUCGAUGGUGUCAGGUCAGGUCCUCUGGGUAGAAGAAAUGGAGUCAGUUAGGAGUGCUGGAGACUGAGUAAGAGGUGGCAGCUGAGGCUUACUACCCCAGGAAAGGGAUGCCACCAGAGAAGGCAGACAACCAAGAUGGCGACUCUCAAUUUUUGAGCUCCUAAUUUUCUCAUGUCAGACAUAAGAAAAAAAAAUAUUUUUUAAAGAAAAAGCUUUAGGUUGCAAAAAUCUAGGCCUUUCAACUUUAAAAUCCUAUUCUUGCAAGCCUUGGAGAAUAAAGCUUAUGCAUAAACAGUAGAUUUGGAAACAGAAA